rnacentral:lncRNA from 1 species
CAAUUCAGAAUCCACAUCGCUCUCCGACUCUUCCGGCAGGUUUCACAAGCACAGCUGUGAACGAGUAAUGAGGAGAGCGCAUGGAAGGCGGAGCGGGGGUUAGGAGGGCAGGAUUCGGGCACCGGGCCGGCUGGGCACACUGACAACGGAGAGGAACCCUGAGCUCUCGGUGAGAUGCAGGGCGCUCGGUGAGAUGCAGGAUGCUCGGUGAGAUGCAGGGCGCUCGGUGAGAUGCAGGAUGCUCGGUGAGAUGCAGGAUGCUCGGUGAGAUGCAGGAUGCUCGGUGAGGUGCAGAAUGCUAUUCUAUUUGCAAGCUGGCUCGGGCAGUGUUCUGGGUUCAGGAGCGGCUUUAGGGUGCUGUACAUGAGGACUAGAACGCGGCAGGAGUGUGGCAAAGGGGUAGCAAACAGUGAGAGAAACAG